GAUGAACGCUGGCGGCGUGCCUAAUACAUGCCAGUCGAGCGAACGGACGAGAAGCUUGCUUCUCUGAUGUUAGCGGCGGACGGGUGGGUAACACGUGGAUAACCUACCUAUAAGACUGGGAUAACUUCGGGAAACCGGAGCUAAUACCGGAUGAUAUUUUGAACCGCAUGGUUCAAAAGUGAAAGACGGUCUUGCUGUCACUUAUAGAUGGAUCCGCGCUGCAUUAGCUAGUUGGUAAGGUAACGGCUUACCAAGGCAACGAUGCAUAGCCGACCUGAGAGGGUGAUCGGCCACACUGGAACUGAGACACGGUCCAGACUCCUACGGGAGGCAGCAGUAGGGAAUCUUCCGCAAUGGGCGAAAGCCUGACGGAGCAACGCCGCGUGAGUGAUGAAGGUCUUCGGAUCGUAAAACUCUGUUAUUAGGGAAGAACAUAUGUGUAAGUAACUGUGCACAUCUUGACGGUACCUAAUCAGAAAGCCACGGCUAACUACGUG
rnacentral:rRNA from 1 species